UCCCCUAGUAACGGCGAGUGAAGAGGGAAAAGCUCAAAUUUAAAAUCUGGCGGUCUCGGCCGUCCGAGUUGUAGUUUAGAGAGGUGUUUUCCGCGUCGGACCACACAAAAGUUCCUUGGAAUAGGGCUUCAUAGAGGGUGAGAAUCCCGUACAUGGUGUGGACUACCGGGGCUAUGUGAUGCACCCUCAAAGAGUCGAGUUGUUUGGGAAUGCAGCUCAAAAUGGGUGGUAAAUUCCAUCUAAAGCUAAAUAUUGGGGAGAGACCGAUAGCGCACAAGUACCGUGAGGGAAAGAUGAAAAGCACUUUGGAAAGAGAGUUAAACAGUACGUGAAAUUGCUGAAAGGGAAACGCUUGAAGUCAGUCGCGUCUGCUCAGACUCAGCCGUGGUUCUCCGCGGUGUACUUCUGUGCAGAUGGGCCAGCAUCGAUUUUGUCCAUCGUAUAAAUGCAUUUGGAACGUGGCAUCCCUCGGGAUGUGUUAUAGCCUUUUGCCAUGCGGUGAAUGGGAUCGAGGUUCGCAGCGCGCCGAAAGGCUGGGAUUCGUCCACACACGCGCUUAGGAUGCUGGCGUAAUGGCUUUAAACGACCCGUCUUGAAACACGGACCAAGGAGUCUAACAUGCAAGCGAGUGUUAGGGUGUGAAAACCCUUGCGCGAAAUGAAAGUGAAAAGUUGGGAAUCCUUUAGGAUGCACCGACGCCCGGUCCUGAAGUUUUCGGACGGAUCUGAGGCAGAGCUUGUAUGCUGGGACCCGAAAGAUGGUGAACUAUGCCUGCAUAGGGCGAAGCCCAGAGGAAACUCUGGUGGAGGCUCGUAGCGAUUUCUGACGUGCAAAUCGAUCGUCNAAUGNGGGUAUAGGGGCGAAAGACUAAUCGAACCAUCUAGUAGCUGG
rnacentral:rRNA from 1 species